AAAGAUCCCUGUAAUGUAAAGGGAAUUAUUCAUCUCACACCAAAGAGGACUUCACGAAAGUGAUUUAACCGGGACACUGUCUAGUUGACGAAAAAAAAAACGUAUUCAGUGUGCGCCAAUUCGUAC